AUCUCUGGAAAGCCGGCACGCCGAACACGGCGGCCGCACCGACGGAGUAAGGGCGCCCUCCCCUCGUGGACCGGCGCCCGAAUCUCUCAGGUCAAGCGGACAGAGGGGG
rnacentral:ncRNA from 1 species